CCUACGGGUGGCAGCAGUGGGGGAUAUUGCACAAUGGGGGGAACCCUGAUGCAGCGACGCCGCGUGGGUGAAGGAGUAUUUCGGUAUGUAAAGCCCUAUCAGCAGGGAAGAAUUUAGACGGUACCUGACUAAGAAGCCCCGGCUAACUACGUGCCAGCAGCCGCGGUAAUACGUAGGGGGCAAGCGUGAUCCGGAUUCACUGGGUGUAAAGGGAUCGUAGACGGCCAGGCAAGCCUGGUGUUAAACCCCGGGGCCCAACGCCGGGACUGCUCUGGAAACGGUCCGACUGGAGUGCGGGAGGGGCAGGCGGAAGUCCAGGUGUAGGAGUGAAAUGCGUAGAUAUCAGGAGGAACACCAGCGGCGAAGGCGGCCUGCUGGACCGCGACUGACGUUGAGGCGCGAAAGCGUGGGGAGCGAACAGGAUUAGAUACCCUAGUAGUC
rnacentral:rRNA from 1 species